UGGUUCCCUAUGAAUUCUGAGGGCUCCAGGAGCUUUGAUUUGGGCAGAGCUGAGUGUCUGUCUCAAUGUUGCGAACCCCAGCGCCUCAGGGUCAGGUACGGAGCUGCCAUGGUGUGUACAGGAACUUGCCAGCACCUGGCAUGCGGUUGUGAGAAGGGACUCCAUGGCUGCUAUUUUGAUGAAGGAAUGCAUAUGUGAGUAGAUGGAUGAACCCUUGAAUAGGUUUGCAAACCAGGAGUGGGGAAUGGACUGGAUCAAUUAAAUGCAUGACUAGAAAGAAAAAUGGAAGAGUAAAUAAUGAAACAGCGAAAGGACGAACCAAUGAAUAGACACAUGAAUGUCGGCAAUAAAUUCGUGGUUAGAAUAAAGGCCAAAUUCAGCUGCCAGGAAGGAAAACAAAUGUAAGAUAGCAGACACAUUAAAACCAGGGCCUCGUGCUGUGGGCCCUCUCGUGUGCUGUGGACCCUCUUGUGUGGUGCCAGCCUUCUUUGCUUUCCUUCAGGAGCCAGAAUGAGGGUCAUCUUCUCCUGCAUGGCUCUUCUUCCUCCUUUUUUGGCCUAGGUGAUUUUGAGAGUUAAUCUUGAUUGCCAUUUUGAUGGGAUUUGGAAUUGCCCAGCAGACACCCCUGGGUGUGUCUGUGAGGGUUUCCAGAGAGGUUUAACUCAAAUGGGAAAGCCACACACCUUCAACGAGGGGAGCAUUCACACGGUCUUAUGUCUUGGGCUCAAUGAAGAGGAGAAAACAAAGGAAGUGCUGAUAUCCACCCAUUUUCUGCUUCCUGACGGUGCUCAUCACAAGAGCUGAUGCCCGAGUCUUCUGCAGCCAGGACUUCUCCAACACGAUGGCCUGUCCCUCCAGCUGUGACCCAGGAUAAACUGCUUCUCC
rnacentral:lncRNA from 1 species